GUCCUCGUAGUUUAACGGAUAAAACAUCGGCCUCCGAAGCCGAAGACUGGCAGUUCGAUUCUGCCCGAGGACA
rnacentral:tRNA from 1 species